CUGGCUCUACAGACACAGCUGAUAUGAGCUCUUAUGUCUGUCCUUACUCGCUGUUUUACGGGUAAAUUGUCCGCUGUCCCUCACACAGAGAUGCUCCGGAGCCUUCUUUUGUUGCUGCUAUGUCAGCUCUCCACGUACAUGCCAGCGGACGCAGGAGCAGUGUGUGGCCGGCCCCCUUUAACCAACGAUAUGGACCCAGCUGGCUUUCAGCGCGUGUAUGAAGUUGGGCAGGAGAUCUUCCUGUCCUGUAAGCCUGGAUAUACACCCAGUAAAGGCUCACGAAGAGUCGUCUGCACCGCCAGUGGGAAAUGGACCAAUCCCACGCUCAAGUGUGAACCCAAGUCGUGUUCUGUGCCUGAGCGUCUGCAGCAUGGAGAUGUUGAGCUGACUGACAUCACGUUCAGGAGCAUAAUUAACUACACAUGCCAUGAUGGGUACGUGCAGCAUGGAGCGAAUACGAGCGAGUGUUUGGCAGAUGGUACCUGGAGCGAACCACCGCCUUUCUGUGAACCUGUAACCUGCGGUCUGCCUGAAAUACCAAAGCAUGGGAAAAUCAUCUAUUCCAAGCCAUUCCAAAGCAACACCACGGUAUUCGGCGACAGCGUGACCUACGAGUGUAUGCCGCCGUUUGCGCUCUUAGGCAACGCGAGAGGCUCCUGCACUGCCAGUGGGAACUGGACUGAAACGCCAGAAUGCCACCUCGUGACAUGCCCAGUGCCGCCCAGCCUCGAAAACGGAUUCAUUUCCUUCUCGAUAAUGAAGGAGCACGGCUAUAAAGAAAGAGUAAAAUAUGGCUGCAACAUAGACUAUGUGCUCGACGGACCCACGGAAAUCGAGUGCGAAAAAACUGGGAAGUGGUCCCCCCUGCCCAUUUGCAAAGGUAAGCCCCUUGCAGAAUCGGCAUUCACCGAGGCCGGAUAUUUUACGACAGAAGGAAAAUAUGGAUCGAGGACCUGAAGCCGAACAAAAUACUGCAUGGUGAGCGAUUAGCCGUGUACUGCAAAAACGCAGAAAAGAACUGCGGUUAUCCGGUCCCCAUGCAGUGCAUCGACGGCACCGCAGCUAUUCCCGAGUGCUAUGAAGAACCAUCCGCUAUUCAAUAUAAUCUGCAUCACAAAAAGCUUCCAUCAGAAAUAAAGAUGUGUACUUAGUCUUUGUUCUAACAACAUUUCACCAAAAAUGAAGGAAUGAUCUGUUUCUUACUAAAACGUCAUUUCUCUGCACUGCUUGCUGCUGUGCUCUGUGUGCAUCAAUGCACACAAAGUAUAUUGCUUUUAAUAUACAAUCUAGUAUAUUCAUUUGUAUAGUUUGAUUCGCACUAUUAAUGUUGCAUUUGUUACUUUAAAAGCAAUAAAGAGAACAAAAAGUC